CAGUGUGUGUGUUCACUGUUUUUGUUUGCCUUUCAGAAAGCAAAGAAAUCUAAUAAAUCCAGGGUUGCAGAAUCUGCUGUAAGAUCACACUCAGCAGAGUCUGCUGGACCAUCUAAUGUAUGUGAAGGAGCAAGUGACCAGUCUUCAGGGGAGAAGAAAAAUGGCAUUUCUAUUGACAAAACUCUAGGACCUGGACCUUCAUCUUCAUUAGUGAAGCCCUCUAAAGUUGUCUCAGGUGCCACCAAGAGAGUUGCACCCGAUGGUAAAUCAGAGGCCUACAAAUCUAUUUUUACAUCACAUUGCUCUGCUAAGCGCUCAAAAGAGCAGACGUCCCAUUGGGUUACACAUACAGCCUAUUAUUUCUGAUUCUGUAAUUAUAGCAUUCUAAGCUGUUGAUGUCUACAGUGAUAUGUUGUAUUAAAGUAACGAGCAGUUAGUGUCUCUGCAAGAUAUUUGAGAAGUGGGUUAUAUAUAUUUUAGUGCAACAGGCUUGUUGCUGUAUUUUUCCUUCUAAAUAUUGCAUUUCACCUUUGAUUAAGUCAUUAGAAAAGUGUGUCCCUUUGAGCAAGAACUACUAUUAAAACAGUGUUUGAACAUGUUAA